AACGGUCCUUGAUUCCUCUGUUGUUCCAGUAGCACUGCUGACUGAGGCAGAAUGUUUAAGAGGCGCAUUACUGUUACUGGGUGUGAGGGAUAUUGUUGUCAUUUUCACCACAUUUAGAGAACUCAUGUGUGAUGCAGGUACCACAGCAGUUUUGAUGGGACUGCUAGUAAAGAGCACAGUUGUAGGAGAGCGGAUGGUGAGUGCACUGGUGUUUGCUGGCUUGGACUGCAUGUGCUGAGUGACCACUUGCACAUUGAGGGGAAGAACUUUGCCAUCAGGAGAAUUCAUUGGACUUGGUGAAGUUACUAACUGCCUCGUUCGCUGGACCUGCAAAAAGCCUUGCUGCUUCCUUUGGCCCUGCUCAGCGUUCCUCCUAGCAUCUGCACCCAGGAAAGCCUCUGCCAACGGCUCACAGCUUUCUGCCUUGUCCUCUUGCCAGGGUUUCUGGACAGGAAUGAUUUCCAAGCAGCUGACUUACAAAAAGGACAUUUGUAACACAACCUGUCUUCAAGAUGGACACUGUACUUAUAAAAAAACUAAUUUGCCUUCAAAGGAUGAAAAUUAAUUUA
rnacentral:lncRNA from 1 species